GAUCCUGGCUCAGGAUGAACGCUAGCUACAGGCUUAACACAUGCAAGUCGAGGGGCAGCAUGGACCCAGCUUUGCUGGGUUUGAUGGCGACCGGCGCACGGGUGAGUAACGCGUAUCCAACCUGCCCUUUACUCCGGGAUAGUCUCCUGAAAGGGAGUUUAAUACCGGAUGUGUUUGUCUUUCCGGCAUGGGAGCGACAAAUAAAGAUUAAUUGGUAAAGGAUGGGGGU
rnacentral:rRNA from 1 species